ensembl:snoRNA
UGCCUUUGUGUUGCCCAUUCAUUCCCUUCUGAAAUGAAUGUGGUGUCAAAAAAGGCAGACGAGAAUUCUUGCUCAAACAGUUUAAGGAUUUGUUUAUUUGCAUUUCUCCCUGUUUUUGCAAGGACAAAA